rnacentral:rRNA from 1 species
GACGAACGCUGGCGGCGUGCCUAAUACAUGCAAGUAGAACGCUGAAGGAGGAGCUUGCUUCUCUGGAUGAGUUGCGAACGGGUGAGUAACGCGUAGGUAACCUGCCUGGUAGCGGGGGAUAACUAUUGGAAACGAUAGCUAAUACCGCAUAAGAGUAGAUGUUGCAUGACAUUUGCUUAAAAGGUGCAAUUGCAUCACUACCAGAUGGACCUGCGUUGUAUUAGCUAGUUGGUGGGGUAACGGCUCACCAAGGCGACGAUACAUAGCCGACCUGAGAGGGUGAUCGGCCACACUGGGACUGAGACACGGCCCAGACUCCUACGGGAGGCAGCAGUAGGGAAUCUUCGGCAAUGGACGGAAGUCUGACCGAGCAACGCCGCGUGAGUGAAGAAGGUUUUCGGAUCGUAAAGCUCUGUUGUAAGAGAAGAACGAGUGCGAGAGUGGAAAGUUCACACUGUGACGGUAUCUUACCAGAUAGGGACGGCUAACUACGUG